AUGAGGAGGACAGGCUGAAUUCAGAGAAUGUGGUAUUUAGAAUAGGAGAGAUCGGAGCAUGCUGGGUCAACAGAGCCAGGAACAACCAGGAGAGACAAAGAAGAGUUCAGGGCUGGGUGGCAGAAGAUCUGGUGGCCGAAGGUCACAGAGCUGAGCUCUGGAAGAAUGCCAGGCUCCUGGACUGAAGAAGACAACUUGGAGGAAGCUCCUGGGUAUAGUGUUACUGGACUAUGGUCCACAGGACAGGGCAGACACUAACUCAAAUAUGUGCACCGGAUCCCACUGAGGAAAAUGGAUGUGGACCAGUGUGGAGUGGAAGGAACCAGGGGGAACAGCCAGAUGUCCUUUGCUCCAGAUUGCUUGGCAUGGAGCUGGGCACACGACCAACGCUGAGGACCAGCUGCAACGGGCAAGGAGGGAGAGAGGCUCCACCUACAUGCCAAAGCCACCGGAUAGAGGCGGCAUUUUACUCCAGAGUCUGCAGCAGUGUUCUCCCUCCAGGGUGCAGAAGGAGGAGAAAGAAGCUCAGAAACCAGCCCAGUGCAGGCUGAUGGUUCUGCAGAUAAUCGGCAAAGGGUGGGCAACUUGGCUCUUUCCUGCUUCUCAGGUCAUGGCCCAAGAGGUGCAAAGAGGGAUUGGAGUGGGGCAUUCAGAUCAAGGAGAGUUCUAUCUCCUGCCGCUCCAGGCACUGGGCUGGCAGUCAAGAAUCUCAGCCGGAAACAUAGCCAAGGUCCUGGGCCUCAGAUUGUUCUGGAUGCCAGAAUAGGACACUCACAAUCCCCCUACUGGAAGUGGGCUAAUGUGUGUUUUAUUUUCUGAGACACCCAAGUAAAGGCCCAGAAGAGGAUAAAUGUCAUCUCCUGGAAUGGUUCCUUGGAGAGUUACAGAUUUCCAACUAAGAACCCCAGAUAACCUCCCAAUAGGAGAGAAGGCUGUAAUUUGAGAAUUACCUUCUCUGAACCCCCUGCCUGCUCUCUAGACAAGAGUGGUCAGGGGGACUGCAGGGUUGGAUGAGGGCAGCAUUUCUCUAGAAUCCUGACUAAGUAUCUCCCUUUGCUACAGUCUCUAUUACUCGACUGAACAAGGUUGUUUGUCUUUAAAGUCCUCAUAUGAAACUGGAGGCCUUGUCUUACUUGCAGGCUGGUACAGUGACAUUAACUGCAGGUUCCUUCCGACAAAGCCAAAGACAGAUUUUUAAAUUAAUAAUAACAUUUAUUGUUCGUUUUCUCUGAUUGCAAAAGUAAUAAAUGUUCAUUGUAACCAUAA